GCGCCUAUGGUGUAAUGGAUAGCAUAAGGGAUUUCGGCUCCUUUGAUCCGGGUUCGAAUCCUGGUGGGCGUU
rnacentral:tRNA from 1 species